rnacentral:misc_RNA from 1 species
UCAUUUUUCAGAAAUAAGUUGCACUUUUUCUAUCAAUUGAAGUAGGGUAGCAUGUAUGUGCACAGAAAUUUUCGGGUUUGUGCUGUUAAUGACUCAAUGUGAAGCUUUGUGCAGAUAUUAUUUAUCCUUUAUUGCAAGGUGUGAUGCUAGUUUGGUUGCUGAAUUAUUCUUGUUUACCCAUUAGCGCACUUAAAUCUGUGCACUGUCGUUCUGUA